CAUUGAAAGAUAAAGGGAGUGAUUCUUUGCAGCUGACACCAUAUAUGGUUGAAGAAAAAUAUGCAUUGUGCAUAGUUGCAUAUACUUUCCCACCCCACCAAGUGAUGAGGCUCCUUCAAUUACAACUGAGCUAGGAUCCCAACAUCAAAGAAAACAGAAUUUGAGAAGCACAAUAUGCUUUCACCUUUCCCACCUGUCCAAACGUAAAAUCAGAAUAAACUAAAUGAACUAACUAAUGCAUCAUAAAAUAAUCUAUGUAGCGCCGACACCGAAAGAAUGUGUGUCCGGCACCAACACAACACCAACACAUGCGAUUUCAUUCAAUUAUGUCAUUUUUUCAGAAGAAUCUCACCCUGUAGCACCAACACAUCUAAUUGAAGGCAUGUCUAGUGUUUAACAUGUGUCGGUGUAGGACAAUAAAUAACACAUGUGAUUACAUUUAAUUAAAUCAUUCUCUUCAAAUUUGUUAGUGGAAGAUGUUUUUGUCUAUGUCAGUGUUUUCUUUUAAUAAAGUCAUAAAAAAAAUUAACCACACUCCACCUAUUGUUUUCAAGUAAUGAAUCACACAAGUUAACUAACAAAAUCUACGCAAAGUUCGCGACGGAAUAUGUACCUGAGAGAGAACUUUGAAAUGGAAAGAGAAAAGAGUCUGAACUUUGAUAGGUAUGUGUUGUUCAAGCUACAAAGAGAAAGAGAAGAUCCAUGAGAGUUGUGGUCUGCGUGGAGAUGAGAUUUGGAAUUGAAUUGUUUUCAGCUCAUUGGAUUUGAUGUUCUUCCACGCACACGGAAAUAAAAAGUGAUUACUCUACUUGAACAACUAGUAACAAACCGUG
rnacentral:lncRNA from 1 species